rnacentral:RNase_P_RNA from 1 species
GCAGAUGACUGGGCAAUCGCUCUUUUAACCUUAGGGUUUUAAUUUUAGGGUUUUAGGAGAGGAAAGUCCGGGCUCCACGGAAACACGGUGCCGGCUAACGCCCGGCCAAGGCGACUUGAGGGAAAGUGCCACAGAAAAUAUACCGCCAUUUAUGGUGCUGCCAUUAUGGUAAGGGUGAAAAGGUGCGGUAAGAGCGCACCGCAUGGCCGGCAACGGGCAUGGCAUGGUAAACCCCACCGGGAGCAAGACCAAACAGAACGUUAACCGUUUCCGUAUCGGCGUUCAGGUAGGUUGCAUGAGGUGUUCGGCAACGAACUCCCUAGAUGAAUGAUUGCCAUCCAUAGCUUCGGCGAUGGUACAGAACCCGGCUUAUAGGUCAUCUGCUUUA